UUCUUUCCGAAUUCGAAAUUAGGGAUGGUGGCGCAAAGGGUGACCAACGUUCCUCGAUUUCGCGAUGACCAAAGAU
rnacentral:pre_miRNA from 1 species